CAGCAGCCGCGGUAAUACCGGCGGCCCGAGUGGCGGUCACUAUUAUUGGGCUUAAAGCGUCCGUAGCCGGGUUGGGAAGUCCUCCGGGAAAUCUGGCCGCUUAACGGUCAGAAUGCCGGAGGAUACUCCCAGCCUAGGGAGCGGGGGAGGCCGAGGGGAUUCCCGGAGUAGGGGUGAAAUCCUAUAAUCCCGGGAGGACCACCUGUGGCGAACGCGCUCGGCUGGAACGCGUCCGACGGUGAGGGACGAAGGCCAGGGGAGCAAACCGGAUUAGAUACCCGGGUAGUCCUGGCUGUAAACGAUGCGGACUUUGUGUCGGACAAGCUAUGAGCUUGUCCGGUGCCGGAGGGAAACCGUUAAGUCCGCCGCCUGGGGAGUACGGCCGCAAGGCUGAAACUUAAAGGAAUUGGCGGG
rnacentral:rRNA from 1 species